rnacentral:rRNA from 1 species
ACGAACGCUGGCGGCGUGCUUAACACAUGCAAGUCAGGGGGCCCGCAAGGGUCACCGGCGAACGGGUGCGUAACACGUGAACAACCUGCCCGAGCGAGGGGGAUAGCCGGCCCAACGGCCGGGUAAUACCGCAUAUGCUCACAGUGCCUUAUGGCGCAGUGAGGAAACCUUCGGGGCGCUCGGAGGGGUUCGCGACCUAUCAGCUAGUUGGUGGGGUAACGGCCUACCAAGGCAACGACGGGUAGCUGGUCUGAGAGGAUGGCCAGCCACAUUGGGACUGCGACACGGCCCAGACUCCUACGGGAGGCAGCAGUGGGGAAUAUUGCGCAAUGGUCGAAAGACUGACGCAGCGACGCCGCGUGGAGGAUGACGCCCUUCGGGGUGUAAACUCCUGUUGCUCGGGACGAACCGUGGGAUUUAUCCCACCUGACGGUACCGAGUGAGGAAGCACCGGCUAACUCUGU